rnacentral:rRNA from 1 species
GACGAACGCUGGCGGCGUGCUUAACACAUGCAAGUCGAACGGAAAGGCCCUGCUUUUGUGGGUUUCUGGGUUGCCAAUCGGUUGAGUAACACGUAAUUAUCCUGCCCUUCAUUUUGGUAUAACUUCAGGAACCUGGGCUUACUCCCGGAUAGGAGCCCCUCUUCCUUGGUGGGGGUUGGAACUUUUCGCCGGUCGGGGUUGGACUCGCGGCUUAUCAGUUUGUUGGUGGGUUAGUGGCUUACCCAGGCUUGGACGGGUAGCCGGCCUGAGAGGGUGACAGGCAACAUUGGGACUGAGAUGAGGCACAGACUCCUACGGGAGGCAGCAGUGGGGAAUAUUGAACAAUGGGCGGAAGCCUGAUGCAGCAACGCCGCGUGCGGGAUGACGGCCUUCGGGUUGUAAAACGCUUUCGCCUGUGACGAAGCGUGAGUGAAGGUAAUGGGUAAAGAAGCACCGGCUAACUACGUG